CAGUUUUGAGAACCACAAACAGAAGAUAGGAAGAGAAAAUCCAGAGAAAGGACAGAGAAGAAAAAUGGUGAUCUCAACAUUAACAAACUCAGUAUCUAAACCUAAUUUUAUACUUAAUCAAGGUCUAAAACCAAAGCCCAUUUCUUCAUUAACCUUAAAACCCACCAUUUACUGUUCUUCUGAUUCUAAUGGAGGUUUGUCACAAGCGAUUACUGUUGCAAAAAGAGAGGUUUUUACUUUGGGUUUGGGGAUUUUGACAUCAGCUAUGGUGAUUGGUGCUCCUUUAGAAGCAAAUGCUACUAGAAUUGAGUAUUAUGCUACUGUUGGUGAACCUCCUUGUGAACUCAAUUACGCUAAAUCAGGGUUGGGUUAUUGUGAUGUUUCUCCUGGGUUUGGUGAUAAUGCUCCACUUGGUGAACUUAUUAAUAUUCACUACACUGCAAGGUUUGCAGAUGGAACAGUGUUUGAUAGCAGCUAUAAACGUGGAAGAUAUCUCACAAUGCGCAUUGGUGUUGGCAAGGUGAUUAAGGGGCUGGACCAAGGGAUUGGAGGAGGUGAAGGUGUGGCUCCGAUGGCUGUUGGAGGGAGGCGUAAACUUCAGAUUCCUCCAGCAUUAGCAUAUGGACCUGAACCUGCAGGAUGCUUCGGAGGUGAAUGCAACAUACCUGCGAAUGCGACUCUUACCUACGACAUUAACUUUGUAGGAGUUUACAAGUGAAAAUUUAAAACUGCAGAGGUACCAAUUUAUAGAAUAGCAAGUAGAAUGACAAGAAUUGGCAAUGGCCCAUCCCAAGUCUUAAAAGCAUAAUGGAGUCCAGUGCUUUAUGGAUCGCAGUUUAUUAAGCAGAGGAGGAUUACGGUUGCUGUCAAACUCAACCACGGAUAAACGAUUCUUGGAGAUCAUCAUGUUAUAUCACUAGUGAGCCAUCUCACAUUCUGUAAGUGUAGAUAUGGUACAACAUAAAGUUGAUACCUUGUUAAUAAUAAUUUACUGUUAUCCAUUUAUAUGUGAAGUUCCUUCUGUUUAGCAGCUAAUUGAAGCUUCUUUCCUCUAAAUUAUCUGUAUCUCAUUACCAUACGAAUUUUAUUUCACACAUUGUCCAUUUAAUCUGGUCUCCUUUUGCUUUUGAAG